AUGGAGGAUACUGAAAACACUCAGAUCAUGGCUGAUCUUGGUGCCGGCACAACUGAAGGAAUACAUGGAAGCUUUCCUGGCAUAUCUACUGGAGUUCCUCAAGCAACCUCUGCUGGUAGGAAGUGGCUAAGUUCCCUGGACGCGCCUGAUGACCUGGGUGAUCUCAGCCUAACUGACGAUGAAGAGCCAGUUUCUCCAACUGGCGGCAAGCUGACCGGGAAGCACUCCAUCCUGAGCCCUGUCUCUGUUAUUGGGGUGGGAGUGUGGUCUCCUUCACAUGGAGCUGCUCCGAUGAUGAGGAUCAAGAAGGCGUCACCACUGAAGUCUACGGAUUCGCUGUUGGAAGUCAUGAUGUAA
rnacentral:rRNA from 1 species